UACUCUAUAAGUCUGUUUCAUUCAUUGCAACAACAAACUGUUGGUGAUGAUCUUAAUCGACUGAGUGAGAAACAAACAAAAUGAUAAUUUUAGUCAUUUGCCUGACUUUAAACUCUGUUCUGGUGUCAGGUAAUCUCUUCAAAGCUUGUGAUUUUUUGUUAUUUUGUAUCAUGUUACCUUUGGACUGUUAAAUAUACUGUACAAACAUCUUCCUUUCCACAUACCAUUGCACAGUAUUGUUCUGAACAUUCAAUAUCAUCCUAAUCAUAUAUUAUUUGUUAAGUUUGUUGUUUUCCUCAUCUCUAGUUGCAAGUCUGUUUCUGUGUAGUGCACUGAGAAAAACUACAACUAAAACUACUGUGAUUCUCUUGCAUUUUAAUGUUAUCACGUUUUUUUUUCUUAAUUUAAGUGUCUAUUUUUCGACAGGUUCCUCCAAAGUCCACCAGACUCCAGCUGAACUCUUCCAGAAUGUGCGAGAAGAAGCCAAACUGACGUGUUCGCACGAUAUUCAAAACUACGAUCGAAUCCUCUGGUACAAGCAAACCGACACGCAGCUUCAGUUUCUGGGAUAUAUGUUUUAUAACAACGCAUAUCCAGAGGACGGAGCGGGUGUGAAGAUAGACGAUCAUGUGUAGCAUUGAUUUCUGAGGAUGUGCACAAACGAGGCAGCCGUCAAGCACCCAAUGGCUGAUUUACACCAUGAUGUCAAGAGGAGGAGGAAACACUAUGGCACCACCUACAUACUUAUAGAAGGCUAUGGGAAGGUUUACUCAAAGAGGAAGUUGAAACGGCAGCAACAAGUUCAUGAUCUUAUAUAUAAUAAAACCAAACAUUCACCAGAAGACGACAUGAUCAUCUUAUUCCUAAGCAUCACUUUUAACACAGCUCUGGUUUCAGGCGCCUCUCUCAGCGACCAAGUCCACCAGACUCCACCUGUCAUGUUCAGCAAACCAGACGAAAGAGCCAAAAUCAGCUGCACACACAAUAUAGACAGCUAUAACCAAAUCCUCUGGUACAAGCAGACAAACGGAGAGCUC